rnacentral:lncRNA from 10 species
GCGACUCCUGCUCCGACCCAGCCUCCGCCGCCUGCCUUCCCCUCCCUGCCGUGUGAUGCGGCGCACACGAGGGCAAACUCCAACCUGCGAGCCGCGCUCUGCAGCAGGGCGGAAGAGGAGCAAAUGCAAAAGCACUGGGAGACGUGCACCGCGGGGCGGGUGGGGGACGCGCAGGCGGGGCGUCUGCCUGGGCUUGGCCAAGUGCCAAGUGAUGAUGGGUGCGGGGAGGUGAGAGGAGCGGCCUCUCCGCGGCCUCCCCCUCCAUCCGCUUGACCGUCCCUCUGCAGGCCUGACUCUUGGCUCGCGCUGAGCCAAGAGGGUAGAGGUUAUCAUCACUUUGGGGUGCCAAACUUGUGUUCUCCAUUUGGCGAGAGGGACUCCCGUCCGCAGCGGAAGGACAGAUGGAGUCAAAGGCCGAUGCAUAGCUGGGGCCAGGAUGGCUUUAAAGGGGAGAAGGCGGAACUUGGAAAAGCCUUCCAGAAAACCCGAGAAAUCUGUGGCACACAUGGUGCAAACCACACUUUAUUAUGCGUGCUACUACCCAGCGACGUGUGAGCCUCUUGUCACUCCCCUCUGCCACCAGGAAUGACGACAAUAUAUCCGCCCUGAGAACCCUUUUUCUACAUUCAGCGCCAUCAUAACACUUCCAGGAUGUCUGACGAUGCUGACUGAUGAGCAGAAAGCCCUGGUGGCUGACACCCCGCAAGCCCUCAGCGCUCCCCCACCACCCCUAGGCAAGGAAGUGUGCAAGCGGGAUAACUCUACGGAUACCACUUUCAAAACUAGCUUCUGUCUGAGCCGAACGCAAAUGCCAAUAAAUAGCCAUAGUCGCAGAUUUCCCUUCAAUUAACUAUAAUAAUCGGUAGAAACUGAUCAAUGGCCUCUAAUAAAGUACGCCUGAGAAAAGACUCUCUGGACUCUUAAAAAUGGCUGACCAUAUUUAGCAAGUGGUUUCUGCAAUUUUGCAUUUGGGCCUGAGAGAAGAAUUAAUUUCCUAGAUACCGUUUCUCUCCUUUAGGGAGGACCAAAAGCCCUGCAUAGUGGUUUCUUGCAGCAACAACAAAAUGCCUUUUUAAAUGUGCAACGGAGGUGUAUGUAAUUGCUAAUCCACAGCCACACCGUUAUCUCUACCUGUGACCAAAUAACAAUAAAAUAAUUGACUUUGUAGCAUAUAUGUUACCGAAAAUGGGGACAUUAUUAAAAUAAAUUCAGCUUUCUUUCCCCCAAUGAACUCUCUUUAACCAUUAAAGAGAUUUGUUA